rnacentral:lncRNA from 1 species
UUGGAAAUCCUUCUCAGAAUUUCUGCAAACGCAUUUUUGUCCUGCAAUAGAAAAAAAAGAGAUGAUUUGAGUUCCGAUUCACAUGGAAGGAACAAUAUAAAAUGUUUCAAGUAAACGCAAAAUUACACACCUCUUUGGUGCGUAAGCGGGAUUUAAACUUAGCAACAAGAUCCUGUGUGGUGACAGGUGCGUUGUGCAGCAGAACCGCCGAAAUUUCUUCUUCCGUGACAGGUCCGGUAGCAGAUGAGGCACCUGCACCUGCUGGUUUAGAAGAAGAACCUUUACCGGCCUUUGCAGGCUCCUCCUUUACAUGUUUCACGUCCUGAAACCGAAAACAAGUUCAAACCAUCUAUACUCUUGACUAAAAUGCUGAACAUGAAAAUGAAAAUAGUAAUGAGAUGGCACAUUUUCGGUUUUGACUUUCUUUGAAGCUGUGGCGGCACCAUUUGACGGUUUGUUCUCUUCAGUGCUUUUUCGCUUUCCCUUAGCCGACUUGUUUGAAGAUGGGGUUCCCCGAGCUGAUGUUGUAGCAGCUGCUGGCUUUGAGGGGCUAUUGUCGACGGGUUCCUCUUUAAGAGGGUUGUUAUUACGCUUUGAUGGACCCCCGUUAUUAUUAGCCUUUGGUGCAAGAACAGGGGAACUUUCGUCUUCAAUCUACUCGUAAUAAAAACAAAAUAAACAAAAAUCACAUUCCAACAAUAAAAAAUGCAACUGUUGAACUUUUUUGAAUAUAAAAAGGACGGAAAGAAUUUACAUCAUCGUCGUCAUCGUCAUCAUCCUCUUGCUCUGGCUCGGAUUCAUUGGCCCCACUAUUUUUCCCGAGCAGCUUCUUCAACUCUUUUCCAGAUUGGCUCAGUCCUCCUUCCUCUUCUUCAUUAUCCUCCUCAUCUUCGUCAUCCUGGAGAGUGACUAGUCAGUCAAAUGUUGCAACAAGUUCAAAAAUUAAGUGUACGACUACUUUGUUCUUUUACGUAUCUUGGCUGCUCUUAGUGAGGCCUUGGUUAAGUUCUGCUCAGAACUUCUUAAUGCGUACCAUAGUCACAGGAUCCGCUGCACCCCCGCGUUCCGCGAAUCAGAUCACUUGUACCAGAAUCGGGUACAAAAGCGACCCAAACGUCAGGGGUUCGCGAUCUGGAUCGGGAAAUCAGGGCGUACUUGAUUUUCCACAAAUUCGACCCUAUUCACUAAUAAUCGCGUACCCGAUUGAUUAAUUCGUCGUUUGGGAACGAUCGGAUAUGCGUACCAGAAACAAAAAGGCAUAUUCAAACCUGAAAUUGGACUUUGACUCUUCGAUUCCUAUGGUAUGUGCUAGGUUUUUCCCGCUGAAGUAGACGGUUAGCCUUUUGGGGUUCAAAUUAGUUUGUGUAAAUUUACCAUUUACCCCUCUAUCUUUAACUAGUUUACAUUUAUUCACUAAACUUAUAAACUUUUACAUAAGAAGUGUAUAAUUAGUUUGUAUAUGAUAUGGUGUACCAGACUAUGUGGUACACCGUACCGAAUUAGCGUUCCGAAUGAACAAACCGUGUACAAGUUUUAGUUCCACGUAUCAGAACGUACCACGAUCCAUGUGACUAUUACGCAUGCCUCUUAUGCAAGCAAUUGGAAGUUUCAAUCAUCUAACUUUAUGUUGGGAUUUCAAGCAAUUGGAAGUUUUCAAUCAUCUAAUCAAUAUAUUACCACUUUCUGUCAAGAUAAAAAGAGAAUAAAAGCAAACCUGCUUGAUUUCUGGAGGAGCAGGGAUUUCAGGGGCCAAAUCUUCCCGUUCCUCGGGAUCGUUGGCCACACCUUCAUCGUCAUCUGUGAAAAUUUCCUCAUGCUCCCAGUCAUCACCUGCAACCACAAAAUUGUUGACUAAUUCUUUACAGGAGUUGACUAAUUGAGCUUGGUAUAAGCCAUUCUGAUAGCAAUGGAACAUGAUUUUAAUUAUAAAAUUGUAAAUAGGUUAAAACAUUCAAUUAUUCAAAGUGAAGCAAACAAAAAAAGAAGAUAUAAUCAAUACCCUUCUCAAUGUCAUCAUCAUCACCAUCAAGAUCACCGCCUCUAGGACCUUCCUCAUCAUCAUCGCCACCUCUCUUAUUAAGUCCAAGUCUCGUUUUCCUAGCAGACUCCUCGUCUUCAUCUUCUUCUCCCCGGUCUGACACGUUUGCCUCGUCAUCAUCGGCGUUAUUCUUUUUACGCCCCCCUCUCCCACCCGCUCCACCGCUUUCCUUGUCAUCAAACCUUUCAACUUCACCAAAAGCAGCAGCUCCGCCGUUUGCUGCUUUCAUCAUCCAUCUCUGAUAACCAUCGGCAGUUUUCCUUCUGUUUUUAAUCUUUUCUUCUGCUUCCUCAAGCGUAAGCUGCUUAUACUGUGCAACUUUGUUGAAGUUGUACCUUCAAAUGCAAGAAACAUGGAUCGCAACAAACUCCUUCCCCUGCAGCAUGAGAAGGUAGUAUGUUGCCGUUUGUGCACCCUCGAGUACACCCUGAUACUGAAAUUGCCCAGUUUCAUCUUCCAAAAGCCAAGUGACUGAUCAGAAGUUACGGCGUUAUAAAAUCCUAAUACAUAUACAAGCAUGAAGCAUAAAAUAGUGAGUCAGAGCAAUCUUUAACCACCAAAUGCACAUGUUUUGAUAAUGUGAAACCCCACUGAAACACUUACUUAUAGAGUGAAAGCUAUUUAAUCGUAACCGUCGGGUUUAUGGAGGCUCAAUUAGUUAUAUAAGCCCAGUUUGGAACACGCAAAAGAGAGUAAAGGACAGAUUAAUUCUUGGGGAAUAAGCUAUAUCCUGGUGACCUGGUUGCAUAGAGCAAUAAUACUGUAUCCUGGUUGCAGGCCGUGU